GCAGGUGACUCCGUGAUGAAUAAAAUAUGAGAAGCUUUGACCUCUGGAAAAGCCAGGAGAGAAGUGACAAAAUGGAAUGAUGCCUGGCUCAAGAUACCACUUGCCAGUUAUUUAACCUCAGAGACUGACCUCCAUUACUGCAUCUGCCUGAUGGGGAUUCCUGCCCUCCUGCUGAUCUUCCAGACCCUUUGGGUGGGAAAGUGCUUAGAAACAAUAGUAGAGCCUCUCCCACCUUGUCCUUACCUCAAGGGAUCCAUCUGUGGGGUGAAGUGAGGAUUUUCCCUUGAAGGCUGGUAUUCUUGGAGAGCCAGCGCCUGUCUCCCGACAGGGCUUUGGAGCCAGGAGCCGUGGCCCAGGGCUCUGUGCCGGGCAGUCUCAUGGACACUGGGUUCACCACCGCAAGGAAGCCCGGAGAGCAUCAUUCCAGGGAAACGAGUUCUGGAGACUGGCCCCCCAGUGUGAGAUGAAGAAGCGGCCCCAAACUCUGGACUGAAGAGAGCUCAUGGGCGUUGGCAUUUCGAAGGCUUAUCGGUGCCCUUCUGUCUAAUUGAAUAUCAAGAUGAGAAGACGUGACAAAAUGGGGGUCUGGGGCCAGAGGGCAAGUAUGAAUUCGGCCUGAGCUGUGUCCUGCUCCAGAGGCUCUCAGCAGCAGGUGAACACAUGGAGACACAUGCAUGUUGAUGACGGACACCAUAAAGAUGAGGAGACAGACAGAGAGGUCGGCAGACUUACCCAAGGUCACAGCCCUAAAUGAAGGGGAAACCAGAGACGUGAAGAGGCCAAGUGUGUGCCCCAGAAUACAGAGGAGUUCCUUGUCUUGGGCUCAAGAGCCCAUCCCACCAGAAACAAGACCAAUCCCCUUCUAGUUUUUGUCUGAAACAGAAAAAGGCCCACAGGAAACACACACAGAACAUUCAUUUUAUCGGCUGGACUUACUACACCAGUGUGUCUAAGGUAAUAUUUUGUUGGGUUUCACCCUGCAUUUGAAAGCAAAACAAUUCACAUUUGAAAAUCUCAUUACCAGCAUCUUCCCUCCAAAUCCAUUAACAGCGUGAGUGU